GUACUCACUUUGGUAGCACAUGCACUAAAAUUGGGAUGAUACAGAGAAGAUUAGCUAGGCCCCUGCACAAGGAUGCCCAUUGACUUUAGAGUGAGAGGAAGGGAGAAA